rnacentral:rRNA from 1 species
UUUACUUCCGGGGGUAGAGCACUGUUUCGGCUAGGGGGUCAUCCCGACUUACCAAACCGAUGCAAACUCCGAAUACCGGAAAGUAUUAUCAUGGGAGACACACAGUGGGUGCUAACAUCCAUUGUGGAGAGGGAAACAACCCAGACCGCCAGCUAAGGUCCCUAAAUUAUCGCUCAGUGGUAAACGAUGUGGGAAGGCAUAGACAGCUAGGAUGUUGGCUUAGAAGCAGCCAUCAUUUAAAGAAAGCGUAAUAGCUCACUAGUCGAGUCGGCCUGCGCGGAAGAUUUAGCGGGGCUCAAGCGAUAUACCGAAGCUGCGGAUGUAUAUUUUAGAAUAUAUGUGGUAGGGGAGCGUUCUGUAAGCCUGUGAAGAUGGACUCGUAAGAGCUGUUGGAGGUAUCAGAAGUGCGAAUGCUGACAUAAGUAACGUUAAUGCGUGUGAAAGACACGCACGCCGAAAGACCAAGGUUUCCUGUUCAACGUUAAUCGGAGCAGGGUGAGUCGGCCCCUAAGACGAGGCAGAGAUGCGUAGUCGAUGGGAAUCAGGUUAAUAUUCCUGAACUCUCGUAUCAUGCGAUGGAGGGACGGAGAAAGCUAGACCAGCUGGUGAUUGGUAUGCCAGUGUAAGCAGGUAGGCAGAGAUCUUAGGCAAAUCCGGGAUCUUAAUGCCGAGACGUGAAUGCGAGGAGCUUACGAGCUCCGGAGUGGUUGAUGCUAUGCUUCCAAGAAAAGCUUCUAAGCUAUAGUGAUAUGAGAACCGUACCCCAAACCGACACUGGUGGUUGGGAUGAGAAUUCUAAGGCGCUUGAGAGAACUCGGGUGAAGGAACUCGGCAAAAUCGUACCGUAACUUCGGGAGAAGGUACGCCUUCAAUGGUGAAUGCUUUACGCAGUAAGCUGAUGAGGGCCGCAGUGAAAUGCUGGCUGCAACUGUUUAUCAAAAACACAGGACUCUGCAAACACGAAAGUGGACGUAUAGGGUCUGACGCCUGCCCGGUGCUGGAAGGUUAAUUGAUGGGGUUAGCGUAAGCGAAGCUCUUGAUCGAAGCCCCAGUAAACGGCGGCCGUAACUAUAACGGUCCUAAGGUAGCGAAAUUCCUUGUCGGGUAAGUUCCGACCUGCACGAAUGGCGUAAUGAUGGCCACACUGUCUCCACCCGAGACUCAGUGAAAUUGAAAUCGCCGUGAAGAUGCGGUGUAC